UACCACCAGUAUUUGUAUGGAAUGGGAUCGUUCGCCUACGUUUGCCGCUAGGGGCGCUGUUCCAACUGCAUACAAAAUUGGGUUA
rfam:Bombyx mori DNA, contig: Bm_scaf7_contig5867, strain: p50T/Dazao, build 2, whole genome shotgun sequence.